AACGAACGCUGGCGGCAGGCUUAACACAUGCAAGUCGAGCGCCCCGCAAGGGGAGCGGCAGACGGGUGAGUAACGCGUGGGAAGCUACCCAUCUCUACGGAAUAACGCAUGGAAACGUGUGCUAAUACCGUAUACGUCCUUCGGGAGAAAGAUUUAUCGGAGAUGGAUGAGCCCGCGUUGGAUUAGCUAGUUGGUGGGGUAAAGGCCUACCAAGGCGACGAUCCAUAGCUGGUCUGAGAGGAUGAUCAGCCACACUGGGACUGAGACACGGCCCAGACUCCUACGGGAGGCAGCAGUGGGGAAUAUUGGACAAUGGGCGCAAGCCUGAUCCAGCCAUGCCGCGUGAGUAAUGAAGGCCCUAGGGUUGUAAAGCUCUUUCACCGGUGAAGAUAAUGACGGUAACCGGAGAAGAAGCCCCGGCUAACUUCGUGCCAGCCGCCGCGGUAAGAC
rnacentral:rRNA from 1 species